rnacentral:rRNA from 1 species
UACGGGGGGGGCAAGCGUUGUUCGGAAUUACUGGGCGUAAAGGGCUCGUAGGUGGCCAACUAAGUCAGACGUGAAAUCCCCAGGCUCAACUUGGGAACUGCGUCUGAUACUGGAUGGCUUGAAUUCGGGAGAGGGAUGCAGAAUUCCAGGUGUAGCGGUGAAAUGCGUAGAUAUCAGGAGGAACACCGGUGGCGAAGGCGGGUCUCUGGGCCGAUACUGACGCUGAGGAGCGAAAGCGUGGGGAGCGAACAGG